rnacentral:rRNA from 1 species
CCUACGGGAGGCAGCAGUGAGGAAUAUUGGUCAAUGGGCGCGAGCCUGAACCAGCCAAGUAGCGUGAAGGAUGACUGCCCUACGGGUUGUAAACUUCUUUUAUAAAGGAGUAAAGUGAGGCACGUGUGCCUUAUUGUAUGUACUUUAUGAAUAAGGAUAGGCUAACUCCGUGCCAGCAGCCGCGGUAAUACGGAGGAUCCGAGCGUUAUCCGGAUUUAUUGGGUUUAAAGGGAGCGUAGAUGGGUUGUUAAGUCAGUUGUGAAAGUUUGCGGCUCAACCGUAAAAUUGCAAUUGAUACUGGCAGUCUUGAGUACAGUUGAGGUAGGCGGAAUUCGUGGUGUAGCGGUGAAAUGCUUAGAUAUCACGAAGAACUCCGAUUGCGAAGGCAGCUUACUAAACUGCCACUGACAUUGAUGCUCGAAAGUGUGGGUAUCAAACAGGAUUAGAUACCCCUGUAGUC